CGUUUUAAUCCACCGAUAUUUCUCUAUAAACCACCGGAAAGCAUUAAAUAAAUAUCAUUGUCCACAAUAAUUUAUUAUAGUGUUGAUUCACAAGAUGUAAAUAAUCAACAUUGAUUUAUAUUGCUUUCUCUGCAAAACUGUGUUACAUGUAAAGAUCACAAAUGCAGUUUUCAUUUCUUUGUUUUUCCAGAAAAGAAAAUGUUAUUACUGGCUGAAGGACCAAAAUUGAAUGGACAGAGAACACGGUUGACAAAACUCAAACAGAAGUUGUGUCACUCAGCUACAUUAAAACAUAAAACUGAAGGCAGAAGCAACAAAUACAACAUGUGAAGAAUGAAGCAACAGCGUAAUAAAACUCGGGAGGAGAUGUUGAUGGCGUCAAGGGAAAGAUAUGCCAUUCAGAGG